GAGUUCCUGUUCUAUUUUGCCAGUAACACUGCUGUGACUUGCUAAUGGCAUAGUGGAUUCACAAAGGAACCACAAUCUUGAACGUGACUUCAUGGCCAAAUUCAGAAUAAAAGAGGUAUGGGAGGCAUUAGAAGACACUGAAACCGUGAUCCUGCUGGAGAAAGGGGAAACAGCUGAGUAUGCUAAAAGUAGGAGCUAAGGUGAGGGGAGCAUGCUUGUGUAUUUGUG
rnacentral:lncRNA from 1 species